AUUGAACGCUGGCGGCGUGCUUAACACAUGCAAGUCGAUCGGUAACAGGUGUAGCAAUACAUGCUGACGAGAGGCGGACGGGUGAGGAAUAUUUGGGAAUCUGCCCAUCAGCGGGGGACAACCCGGGGAAACCCGGGCUAAUACCGCAUACGCUCUACGGAGGAAAGCCGGGGACCGCAAGGCCUGGCACUGAUGGAUGAGCCCAAAUCGGAUUAGCUAGUUGGCGGGGUAACGGCCCACCAAGGCGACGAUCCGUAGCUGGUCUGAGAGGACGAUUAGCCACACCGGAACUGAGACACGGUCCGGACUCCUACGGGAGGCAGCAGUGGGGAAUAUUGGACAAUGGGGGAAACCCUGAUCCAGCGACGCCGCGUGGGUGAAGAAGGCCUGCGGGUUGUAAAGCCCUUUCGGUAGGGACGAAAGCUCUUGCUCUAACAAGGCAGGAGGUUGACUUAACCUACAUAAGAAGCACCGGCUAACUCUGUGCCAGCCGCCGCAGUAACAC
rnacentral:rRNA from 1 species